rnacentral:rRNA from 1 species
GAUGAACGCUGGCGGCGUGCCUAAUACAUGCAAGUAGAACGCUGAAGCUUGGUGCUUGCACCGAGCGGAUGAGUUGCGAACGGGUGAGUAACGCGUAGGUAACCUGCCUGGUAGCGGGGGAUAACUAUUGGAAACGAUAGCUAAUACCGCAUAACAGUAGAUAUUGCAUGAUAUCUGCUUGAAAGGUGCAAAUGCAUCACUACCAGAUGGACCUGCGUUGUAUUAGCUAGUUGGUGAGGUAACGGCUCACCAAGGCGACGAUACAUAGCCGACCUGAGAGGGUGAUCGGCCACACUGGGACUGAGACACGGCCCAGACUCCUACGGGAGGCAGCAGUAGGGAAUCUUCGGCAAUGGGGGGAACCCUGACCGAGCAACGCCGCGUGAGGGAAGAAGGUUUUCGGAUCGGAAAGCUCUGUUGUAAGAGAAGAACGAGUGUGAGAGUGGAAAGUUCACACUGUGACGGUAUCUUACCAGAAAGAGACGGCUAACUACGUG